CACGUAGGGGGCGAGCGUUGUCCGGAUUUAUUGGGCGUAAAGAGCUCGUAGGCGGCUCAGUAAGUCAGGUGUGAAAACUCCAGGCUCAACCUGGAGACGCCACUUGAUACUGCUGUGGCUAGAGUCCGGUAGGGGAGCAUGGAAUUCCUGGUGUAGCGGUGAAAUGCGCAGAUAUCAGGAGGAACACCAAUGGCGAAGGCAGCACUCUGGGACGUGACUGACGCUGAGACGCGAAAGCGUGGGGAGCAAACAGG
rnacentral:rRNA from 1 species